rnacentral:tRNA from 1 species
UGGGGUAUCGCCAAGCGGUAAGGCACCGGUUUUUGAUACCGGCAUUCCCUGGUUCGAAUCCAGGUACCCCUGCCC